GACGAACGCUGGCGGCGUGCUUAACACAUGCAAGUCGAACGGAAAGGCCCUGCUUUUGUGGGGUGCUCGAGUGGCGAACGGGUGAGUAACACGUGAGUAACCUGCCCUUGACUUUGGGAUAACUUCAGGAAACUGGGGCUAAUACCGGAUAGGAGCUCCUGCUGCAUGGUGGGGGUUGGAAAGUUCCGGCGGUUGGGGAUGGACUCGCGGCUUAUCAGCUUGUUGGUGGGGUAGUGGCUUACCAAGGCUUUGACGGGUAGCCGGCCUGAGAGGGUGACCGGCCACAUUGGGACUGAGAUACGGCCCAGACUCCUACGGGAGGCAGCAGUGGGGAAUAUUGCACAAUGGGCGGAAGCCUGAUGCAACAACGCCGCGUGCGGGAUGACGGCCUUCGGGUUGUAAACCGCUUUCGCCUGUGACGAAGCGUGAGUGACGGUAAUGGGUAAAGAAGCACCGGCUAACUACGUG
rnacentral:rRNA from 1 species